rnacentral:rRNA from 1 species
CCUACGUGUGGCAGCAGUGAGGAAUAUUGGUCAAUGGGCGAGAGCCUGAACCAGCCAAGUCGCGUGAGGGAGUACUGCCCUAUGGGUUGUAAACCUCUUUUGUCGGGGAGCAAAAGCCGGACGUGUCCGGCUUUGAGAGUACCCGAAUAAAAAGCAUCGGCUAACUCCGUGCCAGCAGCCGCGGUAAUACGGAGGAUGCGAGCGUUAUCCGGAUGUAUUGUGGUUCAAGGGUUCGCAGGCGGCUUUUUAAUUCAGCGGGCAAAUCGUUGGGCUCAACCCCAUCCAGCCGUUGAAACUGGGGAUCUAGAGUGUGCGAGAGGUAUGCGGAAUGCGUGGUGUAGCGGUGAAAUGCAUAGAUAUCACGCAGAACCCCGAUUGCGAAGGCAGCAUACCGGUGCACAACUGACGCUCAGGCACGAAAGCGUGGGUAUCGAACAGGAUUAGAUACCCGUGUAGUC